CAGCAACGACGACGAGGCAUUGGCAUCGACGGACUGCUCGUGGCGAGGUGACGAGGAAGAGAACUGAGGAACGGACUGGCAGUUCGAGCCUGGACUCGGAACGAGGAGAAUAAACCCUGAACACUCUCACGUUGUUGUCUUGUUGUAGGUCCGGGAGAGAUUUAACUGGCGCAGCCGACAGGAUCCCGACAGGAUCACCCAGCGUCACGCUCCUGGCAGGACAGGUGGACAGAGUGUUCCGGCCAUCCUACGUCACUACUCGGACCACUCCGAAGGAGCGGCAGCUCGGCGGAUCGGACUUCUGGCCUACCGAGCUAAGGCAACGGCAACCACCGUGGGCUGCGUGGCAUCGGCUGCAGCAGCAGAAUUCUUGCAGUGGAGGACAGGUGGCGAGUCCAGGGACGGUCCGCAGUGUCUCGUGCGCCUCAUGUGUAUUCGCCAGCCUUCAUCAGCACGCAUGAAACGUGGACACGGUUUCAUACUCGAAAGGAGGGAGGUGUCAUGUUGUCAGCUCCGGGAAACAGCAACGACGACGAGGCAUUGGCAUCGACGGACUGCUCGUGGCGAGGUGACGAGGAAGAGAACUGAGGAACGGAACUGGCAGUUCGAGCCUGGACUCGGAACGAGGAGAAUAAACCCUGAACACUCUCA